rnacentral:rRNA from 1 species
CAAAUGCCCUGCUUCCAGGAAAAGCCUCUAAGCAUCAGGUAACACGAAAUCGUACCCCAAACCGACACAGGUGGUCAGGUAGAGAAUACCAAGGCGCUUGAGAGAACUCGGGUGAAGGAACUAGGCAAAAUGGUGCCGUAACUUCGGGAGAAGGCACGCUGACACGUAGGUGAAGUGAUUUACUCAUGGAGCUGAAGUCAGUCGAAGAUACCAGCUGGCUGCAACUGUUUAUUAAAAACACAGCACUGUGCAAACACGAAAGUGGACGUAUACGGUGUGACGCCUGCCCGGUGCCGGAAGGUUAAUUGAUGGGGUCAGCGCAAGCGAAGCUCCUGAUCGAAGCCCCGGUAAACGGCGGCCGUAACUAUAACGGUCCUAAGGUAGCGAAAUUCCUUGUCGGGUAAGUUCCGACCUGCACGAAUGGCGUAAUGAUGGCCAGGCUGUCUCCACCCGAGACUCAGUGAAAUUGAACUCGCUGUGAAGAUGCAGUGUACCCGCGGCAAGACGGAAAGACCCCGUGAACCUUUACUAUAGCUUGACACUGAACAUUGAGCCUUGAUGUGUAGGAUAGGUGGGAGGCUUUGAAGUGUGGACGCCAGUCUGCAUGGAGCCGACCUUGAAAUACCACCCUUUAAUGUUUGAUGUUCUAACGUGGACCCGUAAUCCGGGUUGCGGACAGUGUCUGGUGGGUAGUUUGACUGGGGCGGUCUCCUCCUAAAGAGUAACGGAGGAGCACGAAGGUUGGCUAAUCCUGGUCGGACAUCAGGAGGUUAGUGCAAUGGCAUAAGCCAGCUUGACUGCGAGCGUGACGGCGCGAGCAGGUGCGAAAGCAGGUCAUAGUGAUCCGGUGGUUCUGAAUGGAAGGGCCAUCGCUCAACGGAUAAAAGGUACUCCGGGGAUAACAGGCUGAUACCGCCCAAGAGUUCAUAUCGACGGCGGUGUUUGGCACCUCGAUGUCGGCUCAUCACAUCCUGGGGCUGAAGUAGGUCCCAAGGGUAUGGCUGUUCGCCAUUUAAAGUGGUACGCGAGCUGGGUUUAGAACGUCGUGAGACAGUUCGGUCCCUAUCUGCCGUGGGCGCUGGAGAACUGAGGGGGGCUGCUCCUAGUACGAGAGGACCGGAGUGGACGCAUCACUGGUGUUCGGGUUGUCAUGCCAAUGGCACUGCCCGGUAGCUAAAUGCGGAAGAGAUAAGUGCUGAAAGCAUCUAAGCACGAAACUUGCCCCGAGAUGAGUUCUCCCUGAGACUUAGAGUCUCCUGAAGGAACGUUGAAGACGACGACGUUGAUAGGCCGGGUGUGUAAGCGCAGCGAUGCGUUGAGCUAACCGGUACUAAUGAACCGUGAGGCUUAACCUUACAACGCCGAAG